AUGCGAUGGCUCCCCCCCGUUUGUUAUUUGGAAUUAUGGAUAACUGGAGAAAAAAGAGCUAAUACAUGCCAAGCCUCACGGUUGUAUUUAUUAGAUAUUCCAUUAGGUGAAUCAUAAUAACUUCGCAAUCUCGGUUUUGCCGAGAUAAUCAUCCAGUUUCUGCCCUAUCAUGCUUUCGUUGGGAGUGUAUUGGACUACCAUGGCUCUCACGGGUAACAGGGAAUUAGGGUUCGAUUCUGGAGAAGGAGCCUGAGAAACGGCUACUACAUCUACGGAAGGCAGCAGGCGCGUAAUUACCCAAUCCUGACUCAUGGAUGUGGUGACAGAUAUAAUGACGCUAUGAAAAUAGUGAUUAUAGUGAGGGUAUUCCAACCGAACCACAAGUACGAUUAGAGGGCAGUCUGGUGCCAGCAGCCGCGGUAUUCCAGCU
rnacentral:rRNA from 1 species